GAAACUUAGUAACCUUCUGAUAUUCCUUGCAGACACAGAAACUUCAAUUUCAGAUUGAGCUGAAAUAAAAGGAAAUCAAUAUACAGAUG